rnacentral:rRNA from 1 species
UAAUACGUAGGGACCAAGCGUUGUUCGGAUUUACUGGGCGUAAAGGGCGCGUAGGCGGCGUGUCAAGUCAAUUGUGAAAUCUCCGGGCUUAACUCGGAACGGUCAAUUGAUACUGAUGUGCUAGAGUGCAGAAGGGGCAAUCGGAAUUCUUGGUGUAGCGGUGAAAUGCGUAGAUAUCAAGAGGAACACCUGAGGUGAAGACGGGUUGCUGGGCUGACACUGACGCUGAGGCGCGAAAGCUAGGGUAGCAAACGGGAUUAGAUACCCCGGUAGUCCUAGCCCUAAACGAUGAAUACUUGGUGUCUGGAGUUUUAAUUCUCCGGGUGCCGUCGCUAACGUUUUUAGUAUUCCGCCUGGGGAGUACGCACGCAAGUGUG